CAAACGACUCUCGGCAACGGAUAUCUCGGCUCUCGCAUCGAUGAAGAACGUAGCGAAAUGCGAUACUUGGUGUGAAUUGCAGAAUCCCGUGAACCAUCGAGUCUUUGAACGCAAGUUGCGCCCGAAGCCGUCAGGCCGAGGGCACGUCUGCCUGGGCGUCACG
rnacentral:rRNA from 4 species